ensembl:lncRNA
UGAGAAUCGUGCGCAGGUUACUCUCAUGCGCGCUCUGCUCGGGUGAUGUCUUUGUUCCAAGAUUGAUUAAACGACUCGUGUGUUUCUGAUCGUCCUGAGAAUUGCUGUGAAGCUAGAUAACAUGCUAACGCUGUGUUCUGAACAUAGUUUGAGAAGUUUAGUCGACAUAUAAUAUGUAAUUUCGACGUUUUGGUGCGCACCCGCUUGACUUUUUGGCUGCAUUUCAACCGAAAUGUGUCGUGUUUGAUCACCGAAAGACACAGACUUCCAAACUAAAGCUGUUUUUGGUAAGUAUAAACCCUUCCAGGUCUACUGAUGGAAGAACAGCAAAGGUAAGGGAAUAUUUAUGUGUUUAUUAUGGGUUUCUGUGGACUCCGAAGUAGAGGAGCCAAAAUGCUAAUUCCUGAGCGCCGACUCAUAUUAUAGCCUAUUGAACGAAAUCUGUAACGUUAAAAAUAAAUGUAACACAGCGAUUGCAUUUAGAAGAAGUGUAUCUUUCUAUAUAUAUGUAGAACAUGCAUAUUUAGUCUAAGUUUAUGUUGUGUAUUCCAUGUUAGCUGACGGCAUAUGGCGGAGCUAUCGUCAUUUCUCCGGACAUUUGAGUAGCAUUUUGUUGAACAUGCCGUCAUUGUAAACAGAUUUAUGGAUAUAGCAUAUUAUUGAGAAAAACAUAAAUGUACUGUGUAACAUGUUAUAUUACUGUCAUCUGAUGAAGACUUCAAAAGGUUAGUGAAAUUAUUUUUAUUUUAAUCCUGCGUUUGGUGAUUGCAUAUUUUGUUGAAUUUGGCUAUGGAAAUUAACUUGGUCUUCGGUGUGUCUUCGGUGGUGGUUUGACAUAAAUAUGUGCUAUGUUUUCGCCGUAAAACAUUUUAGAAAUCUGACUUGCUGGCUAGAUAAACAAGUUGUUUAUCUUUCAUUUGAGCUAUUGGACUUGUUAAUGUGUGGAGGUUAAAUAUUUAUAAGAAUAUUUUUUGCGUUCCAUGCGCCACAUUCCAGCUGACGGUGGGAGGGCUGGUUCCCAGUUGGGAACCAAGAUCCUCAACAGGUUUUAAGCAUUGAAUACAUUGAAGUUUCUCUGACUGCCUGCAACAUCUACUGUGGUACAAUAUAAAUAUAUUUUUGAAUUACUUUUUAAAAAUGUAUAUGUUUAUUAAAACCUCUUGAGCCUACUUGAGACGCAGACGUCCCACCUAGAGCUCUGGAAAUGCAAAUGCGCUACGCUACACGCUAAUAGUAUUAGUUAAAACGCAAACGUUCAUUAAAAUACACAUGCUUGGUAUUGAAAUAAAGCUACACUCGUUGUGAAUCUAGCCACCGAGUCAGAUUUUUAAAAUGCUUUUCGGCGAAAGCAUGAGAAGCUAUUAUCUGAUAGCAUGCAACACCCCAAAAGACCCGUAGGGGAUGUAAACAAAAGAAUUAGCAUAGUCGGCGCUACACAAACCGCACAAUAAAAUAUAAAACAUUAAUUACCUUUGACCAUCUUCUUUCUUGG